rnacentral:snoRNA from 7 species
AUAACAAUUUGUGAUGCUUUAGGGAGCCUAUUGUUUGAUGGUUUAUAGGAGCCAGAUUUGUCUUUUUGACUAAUUUUCAACCUAUUCUUACUUCCAAAACUGUUGCAAUGGCUCUCGUUUUUGUUAAAUUUUUCUCUUUUCUCUUCUUUGGCAUAGUUUAUUUUCAAUAAAUUAUUUCAGGGUGAGAUAGAGAAAGAAUAAUGAGUAUCGUAGAUAAAUCUUCGGUUCCGAAUAGUGUAACUGUUGGUGCUGAGGUAAUCCAUCUUUAAAACCAUCGCCGUUAGAGGUUGCUUCUGAUAUUUUCGGUUAAGCGACCCAUGAAAUGGUGAUGACCUGAGGUAUGGAACAUCU